AACGCACCUUGCGCCCCUUGGUAUUCCGAGGGGCAUGCCUGUUUGAGUGUCUUGAAAUCAUCAAACCCAACCGGUCUUGUUGCCGGCGCGGUUUGGACUUGGGGGGUUCUUUGCUGCCGUUCGCGGUGGCUCCCCUUAAAUGCAUCGGUCGGGCUUUCGUGCGGCUCUGUCCCUUGGCGUUGUAUUACCCUCGUCGCUGGAUGGCUCGCGAUCCUAUGCCCCUCCUCGACCUGCCUCUGGAGUGGCGGUCUUCAAAACUUUGUGAUCUGACCUCAAAUCAGGUAGGACUACCCGCUGAACUUAA
rnacentral:misc_RNA from 1 species